AUGUCGGAUUGGGGCCCAGUGUUUGUUUCGAUUGUGCUAUUUGUUUUGUUGACACCAGGAUUGUUGUUUCAGUUACCUGGACGGUCGAGAUGCGUUGAGUUUGGAAACUUUCAGACAAGUGGUGCUUCAAUACUCAUUCACUCUCUUCUCUACUUUGGUUUCGUUUGCAUUUUCUUCAUCGCUAUUAAGAUUCACUUGUACCUAGGCUAA